rnacentral:lncRNA from 1 species
GCGUUGGUCUUGCUAGCAUCGCUUUCUCUUUUGUAUGAGCCCUUGAUGAACUACUCUUCUAAUGGAAAAAAGCAUCAUUAAGAUGGAUGAGGUCACCACGGAGAUUCUUUAGAAUGAGAUUCUCAAGCAAGAGAACCAGACUUCGAGCUCAAAUGGUGGCAGCUUAGGUUUGGUGAUUUCUGAAGGAGCCGGUGGCAGCAGGCGAAGUGGUAGAGGAUCACGAGGAGGAUGAUUCAGAUCUAAGAUGAGGGACUCCAGCA